rnacentral:rRNA from 1 species
GGAAUUUUGGACAAUGGGCGCAAGCCUGAUCCAGCAAUGCCGCGUGAGUGAAGAAGGCCUUCGGGUUGUAAAGCUCUUUUGUCAGGGAAGAAACGGUGAGGGCUAAUAUCCCUUGCUAAUGACGGUACCUGAAGAAUAAGCACCGGCUAACUACGUGCCAGCAGCCGCGGUAAUACGUAGGGUGCAAGCGUUAAUCGGAAUUACUGGGCGUAAAGCGUGCGCAGGCGGUUUUGUAAGUCUGAUGUGAAAUCCCCGGGCUCAACCUGGGAAUUGCAUUGGAGACUGCAAGGCUAGAAUCUGGCAGAGGGGGGUAGAAUUCCACGUGUAGCAGUGAAAUGCGUAGAUAUGUGGAGGAACACCGAUGGCGAAGGCAGCCCCCUGGGUCAAGAUUGACGCUCAUGCACGAAAGCGUGGGGAGCAAACAGGAUUAGAUACCCCGG